UGGGGAAUAUUGCGCAAUGGGCGAAAGCCUGACGCAGCGACGCCGCGUGGGGGAUGACGGCCUUCGGGUUGUAAACCUCUUUCGACCUUGACGAAGCCUUCGGGUGACGGUAGGGGUAGAAGAAGCACCGGCCAACUACGUGCCAGCAGCCGCGGUAAUACGUAGGGUGCGAGCGUUGUCCGGAAUUAUUGGGCGUAAAGAGCUCGUAGGCGGUGUGUCACGUCGGUCGUGAAAACUUGGGGCUUAACUCUGAGCUUGCGGUCGAUACGGGCAUCACUUGAGUUCGGCAGGGGAGACUGGAAUUCCUGGUGUAGCGGUGAAAUGCGCAGAUAUCAGGAGGAACACCGGUGGCGAAGGCGGGUCUCUGGGCCGAUACUGACGCUGAGGAGCGAAAGCGUGGGGAGCGAACAGG
rnacentral:rRNA from 1 species